GACGUAGGGCGCGAGCGUUGUCCGGAUUUAUUGGGCGUAAAGAGCUCGUAGGCGGCUUGUCGCGUCGACCGUGAAAACUUGGGGCUCAACCCCAAGCCUGCGGUCGAUACGGGCAGGCUAGAGUUCGGUAGGGGAGACUGGAAUUCCUGGUGUAGCGGUGAAAUGCGCAGAUAUCAGGAGGAACACCGAUGGCGAAGGCAGAUCUCUGGGCCGUAACUGACGCUGAGGAGCGAAAGCGUGGGGAGCGAACAGG
rnacentral:rRNA from 1 species